GAUGAAGAACGUAGCGAAAUGCGAUAAGUAAUGUGAAUUGCAGAAUUCAGUGAAUCAUCGAAUCUUUGAACGCACAUUGCGCCCGUCAGUAUUCUGGCGGGCAUGCCUGUUCGAGCGUCAUUACGCCCCUCAAGUCCCCUGUGGACUUGGUGUUGGGGAUCGGCGAGGCUGGUUUUCCAGCACAGCCGUCCCUUAAAUUAAUUGGCGGUCUCGCCGUGGCCCUCCUCUGCGCAGUAGUAAAACACUCGCAACAGGAGCCCGGCGCGGUCCACUGCCGUAAAACCCCCCAACUUCUGAACGUUGACCUCGAAUCAGGUAGGACUACCCGCUGAACUUAAGCAUAUCAAUAAGCGGAGGA
rnacentral:misc_RNA from 1 species